rnacentral:rRNA from 1 species
CAUGACGAGUCGAGAGGGUUCGGCCCUCGGCAGACGGCUCAGUAACACGUGGAUAAUCUACCCUUAGGUGGAGGAUAACCUCGGGAAACUGAGAAUAAUACUCCAUAGGUCUAGAAUGCUGGAAUGCAUCUAGGCUGAAAGUUCUGGCGCCUAAGGAUGAGUCUGCGGACUAUCAGGUAGUAGUCAGGGUAAUGACCUGACUAGCCUACGACGGAUACGGGUUGUGAGAGCAAUUGCCCGGAGACGAUAUCUGAGACACGAUAUCGGGCCCUACGGGGCGCAGCAGGCGCGAAACCUUCACACUGUGCGAGAGCACGAUGAGGGGAUCCCAAGUGCUAGCUCGUAAGAGUUAGCUGUUUCUUUGUCUAAAAAACAGAGAGAGUAAGGGCUGGGUAAGACGGGUGCCAGCCGCCGCGGUAAUACCUGCAGCUCAAGUGGUGGCCGCUAUUAUUGGGCCUAAAACGUUCGUAGCCGGUUUAGUAAAUGCUUGGGUAAAUUGUGUCGCUUAACGAUACGAAUACCGGGUAGACUGCUAAAC